GAUGAACGCUAGCGGCAGGCCUAACACAUGCAAGUCGAGGGGCAGCACAGAAACAGCAAUGUUUUGGUGGCGACCGGCGGACGGGUGCGUAACGCGUAUGCAACCUACCUUUAACAGGGGGAUAACGGAGAGAAAUUUCCACUAGUACCCCAUAACAUCGAUCAAGGCAUCUUGAUUGGUUGAAAACUCUGGUGGUUAAAGAUGGGCAUGCGUUGUAUUAGGUAGUCGGUGAGGUAAUGGCUCACCAAGCCUACGAUACAUAGGGGGACUGAGGGGUUAGCCCCCCACACUGGUACUGAGACCCGAACCAGACUCCUACGGGAGGCAGCAGUGAGGAAUAUUGGUCGAUGGGGGCAACCCUGAGCCAGCCAUGCCGCGUGCAGGAAGACGGAUCUAUGAGUUGUAAACUGCUUUUAAACAGAGAUAAAGCACAGUAUGUAUACUGUGUUGAAGGUACUGCAAGAAUUGGGAUCGGCUAACUCCGUGCCAGCCGCCGCAGUAA
rnacentral:rRNA from 1 species